AUGUGAUCUCGGGGAGAGGACGCAUGAGGCCGCGUCCUUCGUAAGAAAUUUUGUGAAUUAAAGCCAUGAAAAGAGAAGCCAACUGUCAAACCGUCAAACCCAGCCAACGGGAGCAAAUUUCUCACGACACAACUCUUGGAGCAGCAUUGACCACCCUCAUCAUUCCAGACACCUUUGGCGGCUCAGCUACCAGAACUCGCACUCCAGAGUAACACAGGCAAUAUUUACAGAAGUCCGCGUUGUUACCAGAAAGCUUGAGGGGACCUUGCGUGGGGGACCAUGGCAGACGAGGGUGACCGAGGUAGAGGGACAAACAUGCCAGGCAGACAGAGCUUCAAUGAGAAGUUUUAUUAGAAAGGAGAGGGAGGGGGAAGGAAAGAGAUAAAGAGACACAGAGGGCAGAAGAGGGAGACAGAGAAAGUCUUGACUGCCCCAGGGGAAUAGCAGAAAAGAGAUCCAGAAAGAGAGAGCAGGAAGAAAGUUGAAAAGAGAGCGUCAGUGGGAGGGGGUUCUGUCUUCUAACGGGGUCCUUUGCACCUGGGCUGACCAGGGCGCUGCAUUCUGCCAGGUGAUAGGGGCAGGCCGCGUAUAAUGCCUGAGAGUCCUUACACACGUAACAGCCACCGAGUGUGGUCCCUACAGCAGCCCUGAGUGAGGAGUCCUGCAAUUUCAGCCCCUCUACCCCUUUAGACCUCUCACCAAAGUCUGUUUCAACAAAUGGUUACCGGAGUUGCACACCGUCUAUGGAUGUCAAAGUCAGUGCAGAGAGCAGAGAAACUUGAAGGCGGGCGUGAACAACUGGCGAUAACCGUGAGGACCACGCCCAGGCAGAGGUGCCCAUGUCUGCGUAAUCUCCGCCUGCGCCCACAGGUUCUCCAACCUGCUCUGGCUGUGCCAUCAAGGGGCUUUCGUUAGAACUGGGAGGAAAAGACGAACAUUUUAACAAAUGCGUCACACAAUCUAGACUUGACCAGGGCUCACACUUACUGCCAAAAUGCUGAGAUUUCCCGCCCAGUUCCACAGCCACCUCUGAGCCCCAAAUGAACACUCCGACACUGUAUUAAAUUAUGUAUACUGUUGGCCGGU